UCAGUGUCGGCACCCACACGACCCCUUCUAUCACGUCUUGGAGGGUCCGAGCAACAUGGUACGAAUUAUACUUUUGAAUAAUAUUGACCAAUAUCCUUUACUUAUUGUUAUUAAACAUUCAUUAGGUCCGUCUGCACAAGUCUCGAUGCAGCCUCGCAGAUCGAGCCCUGUGCGUCCACAGUCAGGUACUCCGGGAACCCUUCUUCCUAAUUUCUAAUACUUUCAGCAAAAUAACUUAGUACUGUGCUCAGGAUACUUCGGUGACGAGGCCGGUCCGUCUUCGGCGGCCCCACGCCCUACCCCGCUCGCAACGUACUACGGCACGUCAGCGUGGCCUUCUUCUGCUGCACCGUCGUACCACGUAGGCCCCUCCAGCCAGUACACAUGGACGCCUGCCGAGCCUUCACAGUCCUCCUACCCUAGUCAGGAGGAUGAGGCUGGCCCCGACACCGCAUACGACAUCGUCCGUGACUUCUUCGGGGGCACACCUGACUACAACGUCCUUCAGCGGUCCCAGGUUUCCAGUGCACCGCUUCGGACACAGCCCACGCACGACGAGCCCUCGACACCGGUGGUCCCUACUAGGCCUACCAGACACGUUGGCCCACCCGACCCCCUCACCUACUCCAGGGGUCACGUGAGGGUUAACCAGCGGCAUCGGGACCACGAUGGGGCGCACGGGCGACGGCAACGAGGGAGGCAUGAGUAGCAUUUUACAUUUUAUGUAACUAACAUAUGCAUAUUCGCUUCGUGAUGUACUCCUAUGUAUUAAGACACGUUUACUUUGUA